rnacentral:lncRNA from 1 species
GGCCGGAGGUGUCAUGACCGUCCUGAUCCCAAGGAAUACGACAAUCCCCACCAAGAAGGAGCAGGUCUUCUCCACCUACUCUGACAACCAGCCCGGCGUGCUCAUCCAGGUGUAUGAGGGCGAGAGGGCGAGGACCAAGGACAACAACCUGCUCGGCAAGUUUGAGCUCUCCGGGAUCCCACCGGCUCCCAGGGGCGUCCCCCAGAUCACCGUGUGCUUCGACAUUGACGCCAACGGUAUCCUGAACGUCUCGGCGGAGGACAAGACCACCGGGCAGAAGAACAAGAUCACAAUUACCAACGACAAGGGUCGGCUGAGCAAGGAGGACAUCGAGAAGAUGGUGCAGGAGGCCGAGAAGUACAAGGCUGAGGACGAGGAGCACAAGAAGAAGGUGGACUCCAAGAACGCCCUGGAGAACUACGCUUACAACAUGCGUAACACCAUCAAGGACGACAAGAUCGCCUCCAAGCUCCCGGAGGCUGACAAGAAGAAGAUCGAGGACGCUAUUGAGGGUGCCAUCACCUGGCUCGACAACAACCAGCUCGCCGAGGCUGACGAGUUUGAUGACAAGAUGAAAGAACUGGAAGGCAUUUGCAACCCCAUCAUCGCCAAGAUGUACCAGGGAGCCGGGGCUGAAAUGCCCGGUGGCAUGGACGAGGAUGCUCCGGCCAGUGCCGCCGGCGGC